UACAGAGGUCUCAAGCGUUGUUCGGAUUCAUUGGGCGUAAAGGGUGCGUAGGCGGCGCGGUAAGUCGGGUGUGAAAUCUCGGGGCUUAACUCCGAAACUGCAUUCGAUACUGCCGGUGCUUGAGGACUGGAGAGGAGACUGGAAUUUACGGUGUAGCGGUGAAAUGCGUAGAUAUCGUAAGGAAGACCAGUGGCGAAGGCGGCUCACUGGCCCGGUACUGACGCUGAGGUGCGAAAGCGUGGGGAGCAAACAGG
rnacentral:rRNA from 1 species